UACAGAGGUCCCAAGCGUUGUUCGGAUUCAUUGGGCGUAAAGGGUGCGUAGGCGGCUCGGUAAGUCGGGUGUGAAAUCUCGGGGCUUAACUCCGAAACUGCAUUCGAUACUGCCGUGCUUGAGGACUGGAGAGGAGACUGGAAUUUACGGUGUAGCGGUGAAAUGCGUAGAUAUCGGAAGGAAGACCAGUGGCGAAGGCGGGUCUCUGGACAGUUCCUGACGCUGAGGCACGAAGGCGAGGGGAGCAAACGGG
rnacentral:rRNA from 1 species